rnacentral:rRNA from 1 species
UACGUAGGGUGCAAGCGUUAAUCGGAAUUACUGGGCGUAAAGCGUGCGCAGGCGGUUUUGUAAGUCUGUCGUGAAAUCCCCGGGCUUAACCUGGGAAUGGCGAUGGAGACUGCAAGGCUGGAAUCUGGCAGAGGGGGGUAGAAUUCCACGUGUAGCAGUGAAAUGCGUAGGGAUGUGGAGGAACACCGAUGGCGAAGGCAGCCCCCUGGGCUAAGAUUGACGCUCAUGCACGAAAGCGUGGGGAGCAAACAGG